UUAUUAUUAAGUCUUUCCACUUUUCUGUGGAAAGACUUAUUGUUUUUCUUCUGAUUAUUGUUUUUUUUCUUCCGCCAAAUUUUGUUCUUGCGAUAAAUGUUUGUUUCGCAAUAUGUCGCUUAGAUAUUUCUCAUAUGGUAUCGUAUAGUUUAUGCGCUUUUAAAUUUCACCCUGCUAAAGCAAACCAUUUUCGUUGUAAGAGUUAUCUCCCUAUUCACUGUUUAUCAUGUGUGUGCAUCUCCUUCGUAACAAAAAAAGAUAGCGACAAAAUUCCUUUUACAAAUUGUUCAUUACAUCCUCAGGAAUUUUUGGCUAAUUUGGAUCGAAGCGAUUCGAUGAUAUUUUAUAGGAGUUAUCUACCCCUACACAAUAAAUUUGUCGGUAUGUGUUUUUAACUCAUCAACCGUUAACCGUAUAAGCCUGGGAUAUUUUUAUUUGAGGCCCCUAUGUCCUAACUUAGAAAAUGAGGUCAAGGUCAAAGGUCAAGGUCAAGUUCUCAAUUGUGACUUUUGCUUCUUUUUGCAUUUUCUCAGAC
rnacentral:lncRNA from 1 species